UACGGGGGGGGCAAGCGUUGUUCGGAAUUACUGGGCGUAAAGGGCGCGUAGGCGGUGCUCUAAGUCGGAUGUGAAAACUCUGGGCUCAACCCAGAGCCUGCAUCCGAAACUGGAGUGCUAGAGUUCUGGAGGGGGUAGCGGAAUUCCUGGUGUAGCGGUGAAAUGCGUAGAUAUCAGGAGGAACACCGGUGGCGAAGGCGGCUACCUGGACAGAGUCUGACGCUGAGGCGCGAAAGCUAGGGGAGCAAACAGG
rnacentral:rRNA from 1 species